GGGGCCGCCCGGUUUUGACAGCAUAGAUCUUUGAAAGUGUAAGCAUGUAGUGCGUUGGAUUAUUAGCACUUUAAUCUGAAGAUUCAAAUUUUAAAUGGCGAAACAUCUUUCGCAAUGGCUGCUUAGUAUUCUAAGUACCCAUUAUGGACUUUCAUUUCGGGUCGGUUUAUAACCUACGUUGAAACUCCUUCAUCAGAAAAUAUAAAUUGCGGUAUGAUAAAGCUGUAAAGCGUAUCAAAGUAAAAAAAUAGCUACGGAACUAAAAGGUUUGUUUUGCUCCAUUUAUUUCCCGACAAUUAAUGCAAAAAUAAACAUGUAGAAAGCUUUUGCAGAAUGUGUUUGGACAGGGGUUCGACUCCCCUCGGCUCCACUU
rfam:Bacteroidetes bacterium OLB11 TZ11_BCD004CONTIG000017, whole genome shotgun sequence.